UACGUAGGUGGCGAGCGUUAUCCGGAAUGAUUGGGCGUAAAGGGUGCGCAGGCGGUCCUGCAAGUCUGGAGUGAAACGUAUGAGCUCAACUCAUGCAUGGCUCUGGAAACUGGAGGACUGGAGAGCAGGAGAGGGCGGUGGAACUCCAUGUGUAGCGGUAAAAUGCGUAGAUAUAUGGAAGAACACCAGUGGCGAAGGCGGCCGCCUGGCCUGUUGCUGACGGCUGAGGCACGAAAGCGAUGGGAGCAAA
rnacentral:rRNA from 1 species